CUCUGUAUAAUUCCAGAGUAUUUUACUCUGUCUAACGCCAGACGAUUUUACUCGUCAAAUGGAGAGAGCUGCCACUCAAUGGGUUAAUGGGUUAACAAAUCUAUUUGCCCAUGUCUCUUGUUAACUCAAUAACGAGCAAUAUGCCCAAAUGCGCUCUACUGUAGUAUUUACUCUGUCUAAUGCCAUACGAUUUUAUUCAACAGUAGUAGAGCACUGGUGACACUGG